UACGUAGGGGGCAAGCGUUGUCCGGAUUUAUUGGGCGUAAAGAGCGUGUAGGCGGCCUGGUAGGUCAGCUGUGAAAACUAGAGGCUUAACCUCUAGACGUCGAUGGAAACCGUCUGGCUAGAGUCCGGAAGAGGAGAAUGGAAUUCCUGGUGUAGCGGUGAAAUGCGCAGAUAUCAGGAAGAACACCCGUGGCUAAGGCGGUUCUCUAGUACGGUACUGACGCUGAGACGCGAAAGCGUGGGGAGCGAACAGG
rnacentral:rRNA from 1 species